UGUUCUGAGGAGGAGACUUUCUUUCCUGAAAUAAAGAGAAAAAGCAGAUAAUGUUUUGGGGGUGCCAAGAGCACAGUAUUCAUUUUUAUUUUCUGUAUAUUGGAUGAAAGAGAAAAUGCAUCUGCACAGGGUGGACCAUCAAGAAGGGGAAGAUGUUAAUUAUCAUGAGUUGAUGUUCUCUAAUAUAGCUUCUUCAUGGUGUGCAAUAUAGUGAUUCUACACUUCCAUGCAAGACCGGGUAUUCAUCCAGCGAGUAUUUUUAUUUAUUUUUGUCCCAAGUGAAAUCAUUCUACUUUUCUCUCUAAAAACAACAAACAUACAUGUGUGCAGCAGGGGGAAGGAACAAUAUUGUGACAUAAAAAACAAUAAUGUUUUUGAAAGUGCUUUGAAGAGUUAGAAAUACUUUCUCAAGUCCAAACAUUUUUACUAUCAUAAUUUAUAUGGACACUUUUACAUUUAAUUGGUGGAUAUUUCUAGUGUUGAGACAUUCAAGUCAUAAAUGAAAAUAAGGCUGAAAUUGGUGUAGGUACACAGAGGACAAAUGAAUUUCUGCAGAAGCUAAAGAUACAGGAAUGGGAGAAAACCGGGCUUGAAUAGCUAUACAGACUUGCUGUGGACAGAGACUGCAGCUGAAUUUCUCUCAUAGAAGCCUGGGACUUACGGCCUCGUGUGUAUAGCUGAACUUCGCUGAAGCAUUGAGCUCUGAUUAAUGCAAUUAAAUGAGUAAAGGCUACAUAGUGAAGGAAAAAGUGUUUGGAGCAUAGAGGGUUCUCUUUUGAAAGAAAAAAAUCAUAACAAAAUUGGCAAUGAAAAUAAAAUACUGUUUCUGGA